GAUGAACGCUGGCGGCGUGCCUCAAACAUGCAAGUCGAGCGAGGCUAUGAAUUACCGCAAGGUAAGGCAUAGCCUAGCGGCGAACGGGUGAGUAACACGUGGGUAACCUACCUGGAAGACAGGGAUAACGAUUCGAAAGGGUCGCUAAUACCUGAUAAUAUCCGUCUGCCGGAUGGCGGAGGGAAGAAAGGGGAAACCCGCUUUCAGAUGGGCCCGCGUCCCAUCAGCUAGUUGGUAAGGUAAAGGCUUACCAAGGCGACGACGGGUAGCCGGUCUGAGAGGAUGUACGGCCACACUGGGACUGAGAUACGGCCCAGACUCCUACGGGAGACAGCAGUUGGGAAUCUUAGGCAAUGGACGAAAGUCUGACCUAGCGACGCCGCGUGAGGGAAGAAGGCCUUCGGGUUGUAAACCUCUGUCAUGGGGGAAGAAGGAAGUGACGGUACCCCAAGAGGAAGCCCCUGCUAACUACGUG
rnacentral:rRNA from 1 species